GCGGGCGGCGGCGGCGGGCGGCGGCGGGCGGCAGCGGAGGCAGCUGCCGCCUCUGUCCUCGGGUCCGCUCCGCUCUGCUCCCUGGUGUGUUGAUUCUUCCCCCAGCUGCUGCCUAAUGGAGUCCAGGCGCUCGCGUCACAGGAAAUGCCUAUACUGCCCUCCUCACUCACUUCCGGUGGCAGGCAGAAAGGCAUCUGAGAGCAGGGCCUGUGUCCCCAGCCUGUGGGCCUCUAUCCCAUGACUGGAGCCUCCUGGCUUGGUGGAGAGGCUCAGCACUUGCUUCUUGAAGAAAUGAUGGAAAUGCCUGGGCCUGUUUCCCAGUGUCAGCUGAGAUGCACUGAAGGAUGCGUGUCUGCAAGACUGUGGCUCGCCCAGCUGUCACAGGCUCCUGGCGGUGACCUGAGCCUCCAUGGAUGGUAUGUCCGCCUCUGGCAGACAAGAGAAAGGGACAGCAGGGGGCACCAAACCCACACAGUUAUGCUGGAGAGACGAGAGUCCGGGUGAGUGACAGCGACAGUUCCUGAUAGUCGGCUAGCUCACCACCCUUUCUGUAAGCUGUUUAGAUUCCCACAGUGGCGUGGCAACGGAGAGCAUUAUUUAGUAAAGCAACAAACAAAUAGAGCUCUAACCCUGACCUUGCCUCCAACGGCGGCAG